GAUGAACGCUAGCGGCAGGCCUAACACAUGCAAGUCGAGGGGCAGCGGGAAAAGCUUGCUUUUUGCCGGCGACCGGCGCACGGGUGCGUAACGCGUAUACAAUUUGCCUUAUACAGGGAGAUAGCCCGGAGAAAUUCGGAUUAAUAUCCCAUAAUAUUGUGUAAUCGCCUGAUUAUAUAAUUAAAGCUACGGCGGUAUAAGAUGAGUAUGCGUCUGAUUAGCUAGUUGGUGAGGUAACGGCUCACCAAGGCGACGAUCAGUAGGGGGCCUGAGAGGGUUAUCCCCCACACUGGUACUGAGACACGGACCAGACUCCUACGGGAGGCAGCAGUGAGGAAUAUUGGUCAAUGGAGGCAACUCUGAACCAGCCAUG
rnacentral:rRNA from 1 species